GCUUACGCCCAUACCAUCCUGGGUACGCCCGAUCUUGUCUGAUCUCAGAAGCUAAGCAGGGUCGGGCCUGGUUAGUACUUGGAUGGGAGACCGCCUGGGAAUACCAGGUGCUGUAAGAA
rnacentral:rRNA from 1 species